GGCAAGGUGGAUUCCGGUCGCGGGCGCAUGCGCGCUGGGGACGCUGGUGCUGGACAGCUGGCGCCGGGCGGCGGCGGCGGCGGAGGAGCUGGAGGCGGCGGCCGCGGCGGCCCGGAGCGAGCCGGGGUGCAGGGAGCCGCAGCAGCCGCCGUCCCGGCAGGGAAGGAACCUAAGGAAUCUCGGCUGCCCACCGACCUUUCCUCACUUUGGAAAUGGCGGGCGAAAUCACCGAGACCGGGGAGCUCUACUCUCCCUACGUGGGACUGGUGUACAUGUUUAACCUCAUCGUGGGCACAGGUGCACUCACCAUGCCAAAGGCCUUUGCCACCGCGGGGUGGCUGGUCAGCCUGGUCCUGCUGGUGUUCCUGGGCUUCAUGAGGUAAGAGGCUGGCACACGGGGGGCCGGGAGAAGCCUGCCCAGGGAGCCCUGACUUCGCUUCAUUAACACAAGGAAGUGUGCCCUGGGGGGUGGGCAGAUGUCCCCGGUGAAUCCUAACCAGGGCGGCCCAGCAACAGGAAAGGAGACACAAAGGUCCCCAGGUCUCGUGCUAGCAGAGGGUCACACAACCUGAUCAGUUAAGAAUCCAGACAUCUGGGGCGCCUGGGUGGCACAGCGGUUGAGCGUCUGCCUUCGGCUCAGGGCGUGAUC